GACGAACGCUGGCGGCGUGCUUAACACAUGCAAGUCGAACGGAAAGGCCCUGCGUUUGCGGGGUGCUCGAGUGCCGAACGCGUGAGUAACACGCGAGUAACCUGCCCCUGACUUUGGGAUAACUUCACGAAACUGGGGCUAUAACCGGAUAUGAGCUCCUGCUGCACGGUGUGCGUUGGAAAGUUUCGGCGGUUGGGGAUGGACUCGCGGCUUCUCAGCUUGAUGGUGGGGUAGGUGCUUACCACGGCUUUGACGGGUAGCCGGCCUGAGAGGGUUGACGGCCACAAUGGGACUGAGAUACGGCCCAGACUCCUACGGGACGCAGCAGUGGGGAAUAUUGCACAAUGGGCGGAAGCCUGAUGCAGCAACGCCGCGUGCGGGAUGACGGCCUUCGGGUUGUAAACCACUUUCGCCUGUGACGAAGCGUGAGUGACGGUAAUGGGUAAAGAAGCACCGGCUAACUACGUG
rnacentral:rRNA from 1 species